rnacentral:tRNA from 1 species
GCACUAUCUGGCACGGGUGUCGCGGCUCUUAAUCAGCGGGUUCGGGGUUCGAGUCCCUGACGGCGCACCA